UAAAGCUUGCAUUAUACUAUAACACAUCUCCUGAAUGCAACUCAAGCGCUUUAAUUAAGCUAAAGCUU
rnacentral:tRNA from 1 species